rnacentral:rRNA from 1 species
UUCGACACACUAUCAUUAACUGAAUCCAUAGGUUAAUGAGGCGAACCGGGGGAACUGAAACAUCUAAGUACCCCGAGGAAAAGAAAUCAACCGAGAUUCCCCCAGUAGCGGCGAGCGAACGGGGAGGAGCCCAGAGCCUGAAUCAGUGUGUGUGUUAGUGGAAGCGUCUGGAAAGGCGCGCGAUACAGGGUGACAGCCCCGUACACAAAAAUGCACAUAUUGUGAGCUCGAUGAGUAGGGCGGGACACGUGGUAUCCUGUCUGAAUAUGGGGGGACCAUCCUCCAAGGCUAAAUACUCCUGACUGACCGAUAGUGAACCAGUACCGUGAGGGAAAGGCGAAAAGAACCCCGGCGAGGGGAGUGAAAAAGAACCUGAAACCGUGUACGUACAAGCAGUGGGAGCCUCUUAAUGGGGUGACUGCGUACCUUUUGUAUAAUGGGUCAGCGACUUAUAUUCUGUAGCAAGGUUAACCGAAUAGGGGAGCCGAAGGGAAACCGAGUCUUAACUGGGCGUUAAG